AUUGAACGCUGGCGGCAGGCCUAACACAUGCAAGUCGAGCGGAGCGGCGGACGGGUGAUUAAUGCCUAGGAAUCUGCCCGUUAGUGGGGGAUACCGUCCGGAAACGUGCGCUAAUACCGCAUACUAUCAGAUGAGCCUCGGUGGGCUUAGCUAGUUGGUGGGGUAAAGGCCUACCAAGUCGACGAUCCGUAACUGGUCUGAGAGGAUGAUCAGUCACACUGGGACUGAGACACGGUCCAGACUCCUACGGGAGGCAGCAGUGGGGAAUAUUGGGCAAUGGGCGAAAGCCUGAUCGAGCCAUGCCGCGUGUGUGAAGAAGGUUUUCGGAUUGUAAAGCACUUUAAGUUGGGAAGCGUUACCAACAGAAUAAGCACCGGCUAACUUCGUGCCAGCAGCCGCGGUAAUAC
rnacentral:rRNA from 1 species